AUGUUGCCAGUAUACUGCCAGUAUAAAACUGGUCUCUCUUGCUAGUAUUCGGUGUCCCUAAGGGAGUAGUGACCUGUACGCUUCCAUCCCUAAUAGCUACUUUCCCAGGAACAGAAGGGAAAAGAAUGUUUGUACAAUCCUCUUUGCAGGAAACAGCUUUUGGAGCUUCUUUGCUAUCAAAAGAAGGAUUCAAAGAACCAGCCACCCCAAUCUGAUCUCCUGUACCAGUCAAUCAGAGCUGAUCCUGAGCAGCUGGAAGAGAAAGAUUCAGGUGUUGGCACUUACAGUUCCUGUGUGCUGAUGGACUACUUCUGCCCAGCUGCAGGCAGUGUUUUUGUGAGUUCUUCAGGUGGCCCUUAUAUUUUUGUUUCUGUGUCAGCUAAUAGAACAAAUUCUUCUGCAGAAGCUUGGAUAGGUAAGUGAUAGAAUAUUUUCAUUUCUUACAGUCUAAAGCUGCGUAAGAAUUGAUAAUGUUCAUUUAAAUUGCAGGGUUAGUAAUGGCUGCAAGUUGUACCAGAGGAGGUUUUUAUUAUGCAUAAGGAAAAACUUUUUCUCUCAGAGAAUAGUCAGGUA
rnacentral:lncRNA from 1 species